rnacentral:rRNA from 1 species
AUUCCCCUAGUAGCGGCGAGCGAAGCGGGAAGAGCUCAAAUUUAUAAUCUGGCACCUUCGGUGUCCGAGUUGUAAUCUCUAGAAGUGUUUUCCGCGUUGGACCGCACACAAGUCUGUUGGAAUACAGCGGCAUAGUGGUGAAACCCCCGUAUAUGGUGCGGACGCCCAGCGCUUUGUGAUACACUUUCAAUGAGUCGAGUUGUUUGGGAAUGCAGCUCAAAUUGGGUGGUAAAUUCCAUCUAAAGCUAAAUAUUGGCGAGAGACCGAUAGCGAACAAGUACCGUGAGGGAAAGAUGAAAAGCACUUUGGAAAGAGAGUUAACAGUACGUGAAAUUGUUGGAAGGGAAACGCUUGAAGUCAGACUUGCUUGCCGGAGCUUGCUUCGGUUUGCAGGCCAGCAUCAGUUUUCCGGGGUGGAUAAUGACGGUUUGAAGGUAGCAGUCUCGGCUGUGUUAUAGCUUUCCGUUGGAUACAUCCUGGGGGACUGAGGAACGCAGCGUGCUUUUUGCGAAAGACUCGUCUUUUUCACGCUUAGGAUGCUGG